GUCCAUGGUGGCCGAGGACCUUAGGCACCGAGCUUUUAACUCGACUACAGUUGCAUUUACUCCAGGACA
rnacentral:tRNA from 1 species